UUGGUCCAUGUCUUGCUCUGACCUCACAAGGAGUCAUUGUGAGGAAUGACUGACACCUGUGCAUAUAACACACUGCCUAGGCCUGGGUUUUGUCCUUCUAGUACAGAGAGCUGUUGGGUAGUGAGUGAUCUGUGGGACUUGGAUGGUGGUGACAGUUUUGGACCUGGAUAUCGGUGAAGUUUUGGACUCGGAUGCUGGUGACUUGUUUUACUUGACAGAUUGGUGUUGGUACGAGCCUUUAUAUCAACAAAGAGGAAGAAGUGGGAAAUGGCUCAAGGCAACACCCUACAGUACAACUCCUCUGACGAAGAGGCUCUAACAGAGCACUAUGAAAUCCUAAAGACCCUUGGUCGGGGAGCAUUUGGAGAAGUAAAAUUGGCUAGCCAUCUACUCACCCAGACAAGGGUAGCAGUAAAAGUUCUUCCAAAAGGCACAAAGAAUAGCUUCAUCAAAUCAGAAAUUGAAAUAAUGAAAUCUCUAGACCAUCCCAAUAUCAUUAAACUUCUGCACAUAAUCGACACCACAAAUACCACUUACUUAGUUAUGGACUAUGCCAUAGGCGGAGAGCUGAUGGACAGGAUUGUGGAGUUUGGCUACCUACAGGAGGAGGAGUCCCGUAAGGUAUUUAAACAGAUGGUAUGUGCCCUUCAGUAUUGUCACAUGAAAGGGAUUGUUCACAGGGAUCUAAAGCCUGAAAAUAUUUUAGUGGACGGCAAAGGAAACAUAAAACUCAGUGAUUUUGGGCUGGGCACCAAGCUUACCCUGGGGCAGAAGCUAGCACAUUUCUGUGGGACCGUUCCUUAUUGUGCCCCAGAAGUCUUUAAAGGUGGAGGCUACGAUGGCCGAGCAACCGACAUCUGGAGUUUGGGGGUUGUACUCUACUUUAUGUCUACAGGGUGCCUCCCUUUCAAGGGAACUGCCUUUGUAGGAAUAAAGGAGCAGAUCUUGGUGGGAAAGUACUCUGUUGAAUUCAAGCUGUCGCCAGAGCUUUGGGAUCUUAUUGCUAAGUUGUUAACUAUAAAUCCUGGAGAAAGACCAAGAAUAGAUGAUGUUGUGGGCUUUCAAUGGCUGAAGCAUGGCAAUGAAGGUUCUCCCAAUCCCUUUAGAGAGAACGAUGAGGACAGCUACCCAGACCCCACUGUGAUGGCCAUCAUGGGUGUCAUGGGUUAUAAGCAAGGACAGAUCCUGGAAGCUUUACACGAGAAGAAGUUUGAUCAAGUGAUGGCCACCUACUUGAUUCUUAGGCAGCAGUCACCCUGGGAAGACAUUACAAAAGAUCUUCAGCCCAAGCAGUCUGCUGGAACCUUGAACCUUACAGGCCUUCCCACAAUACCUAAAGUGACUAUCAAGAGGGGAUCUAGUGUCUCUAUCCUUUCCACUUCUUCCAUUUUGCACACUCUAACUGAGAGUCCCGAGAAUGACAAAAAGGGGAGAACGAGGUACAGUAGGCCUCCCACCCUGAACUGCCCUGACAAGAAAACAGCCCCCAUUCACAGAAUCUGCCCCCAGUGUGUACAUUUGGCUAAUUUCAUGAACAACCCCUGGUGGGAUUCAGAGAGCACUAUUAACACCUCCGAUGAAAUAUGUACCACAGUGUCUUCAGCACUGGAAACUUAUUCCAGUAAGUUAUCCUGGAAUGUGUCCGAAGCUGGCCCUAACAAAUCAAAGAGCAAGGCGUCCUCACAGGAUGUUUUAUCUCAUCACACCACUAUGGAGGAAGUUCAGUGCAGAGACGUCAACAUACAAGGUGAAAUUAUCGGUUCAUCUCUCCCACAAACCUCACCUCAGGAGGACCUCAGAGGACAGCCCCACAGCAUGUCUACUGCUGGUCAGAGAGAUGAAAGGACCAGCUCAUCUCUCUCACAACUAGCACCUCAGGAGGACCUCAGAGGACAGCCCCACAGCAUGUCUACUGCUGGUCGGAGAGGUGAAAGGAGCAGUUCAUCUCUCCUACAAACUGCACCUCAGGAGGACCUCAGAGGACAGCCCCACAGCAUGUCUACUGCUGGUCGGAGAGGUGAAAGGAGCAGCUCAUCUCUCCUACAAACUGCACCUCAGGAGGACCUCAGAGGACAGCCCCUCAGUGUUGCUACAGCUGCUUCAAAGAACAACAUGACCUCACAAGAUAGAUCAACUCCAUUCUCCAGCAAGGAGGCCCAGGAUGAGGGUCCGAUUGUACAAGAAAAAGACCUCAGCCCAUCCUCCCCAGAAAUACCUCAGGGACACCUAAGUGGUCGGAGACAGACUGUACCCAGAGCCCCCUUUAGAAAGCGGAUUUGGAAGAGCCUACAGAGCAGGAUUAUAAAAGGCCUGAGAAGUUUAUGUUGCUGCAUACCAACAGAAAAGAGGGAGCGCCUAGGCUGCAACAAAAUCCUGCCUGUGACCUUAGAGGACCAUGGAGGGAGCCAAGGUAACAGUGCUGUUGGAGGCACUGUGCUCCCCCUAAGCUGAAACCAGAGAGUGAAGUGCAGCAUGCUGAGGAUGCACAGGGCCGCUGGAGAGAGCCAGCUACCUGUCGCCAGGUGUACCAUGAGCCAUUAGAAGAGAGAGCGGCACCGGAAGCAGAGGAGGACCCCAGAGGGCCUGCCCAGUUUGUAUGUGUUCAAGAUGAGUAUUGCUGACCAGGUUGGAGCCAGACACAGAGGAGGAACGAGUUUGCAGGGAGUGUCCAUCUUGUGCUCAUUUGGGAAGGUAGAGUGUGUGGGAACAGGAGCCACGUGAAGCCAACACAUGGCAUGGUGCACAUUUUCCCCCAGGGCAUCCGGUCCUGUGCAAGGGAAGGCCCACCAGCUGUGCUUUGAGUGGAAGCAAGGUGAAGUCUGGAGUGUUUGACAGUUGGAUUCAGAGAUGGAGCUGGUUCCAAGCGUGAUCGUGGAUAGAAUCUGUUGAUGGAAAAACAAUGGCAACCCCCGGCCUGACAGUGGACAUGGCUGUUGCUGAAGCUUUGUGUCUCCAGGCAGCAGGCUGGGAAAGACUUUGGCUGCCUGUAUGACCCUAUGCUGGGGCUACCAAGGAGACUCCUGGGACUACACUCAGCAAGGGACAUUUUCAACUGGAUGGUGCUUAGAGCAGGAGAUGCCACUCAAGCCCUAACACACUGGAUGGAAGGGGGAACACACAGGUCUCCUUGAUGGAAGAGGCUUCUGAUUGACAGAGAAUUUGGGCCAGAGGCUUACAAGCAGAUGGACUAAGAGCAACAAAAGAAAAUGUCUACUGAUCCAGGUGAAGAUCAGCCAUCGAGGAUAUGCUCAGAGAGCUGGGCAUAAGAUUGCUCUGCAGAAGUGUUACCAAGAAAGACAGGCACCAGACAAAAAGAUAUAUGGCACAAAUAUCUGAAUAAAGAGACUGUUUUCUUGCUACAAUAAAUUCCUUUGUAUAUUUGAA